rnacentral:rRNA from 1 species
UUAAGUUAUUAAGGGCGCACGGUGGAUGCCUUGGCACUAGAAGCCGAUGAAGGACGUUACUAACGACGAUAUGCUUUGGGGAGCUGUAAGUAAGCUUUGAUCCAGAGAUUUCCGAAUGGGGAAACCCAGCAUGAGUUAUGUCAUGUUAUCGAUAUGUGAAUACAUAGCAUAUCAGAAGGCACACCCGGAGAACUGAAACAUCUUAGUACCCGGAGGAAGAGAAAGAAAAUUCGAUUCCCUUAGUAGCGGCGAGCGAAACGGGAAGAGCCCAAACCAACAAGCUUGCUUGUUGGGGUUGUAGGACACUCUAUACGGAGUUACAAAGGACGACAUUAGACGAAUCAUCUGGAAAGAUGAAUCAAAGAAGGUAAUAAUCCUGUAGUCGAAAAUGUUGUCUCUCUUGAGUGGAUCCUGAGUACGACGGAGCACGUGAAAUUCCGUCGGAAUCUGGGAGGACCAUCUCCUAAGGCUAAAUACUCUCUAGUGACCGAUAGUGAACCAGUACCGUGAGGGAAAGGUGAAAAGCACCCCGGAAGGGGAGUGAAAUAGAACCUGAAACCGUGUGCUUACAAGUAGUCAGAGCCCGUUAAUGGGUGAUGGCGUGCCUUUUGUAGAAUGAACCGGCGAGUUACGAUUUGAUGCAAGGUUAAGCAGUAAAUGUGGAGCCGUAGCGAAAGCGAGUCUGAAUAGGGCGUUUAGUAUUUGGUCGUAGACCCGAAACCAGGUGAUCUACCCUUGGUCAGGUUGAAGUUCAGGUAACACUGAAUGGAGGACCGAACCGACUUACGUUGAAAAGUGAGCGGAUGAACUGAGGGUAGCGGAGAAAUUCCAAUCGAACCUGGAGAUAGCUGGUUCUCUCCGAAAUAGCUUUAGGGCUAGCCUCAAGUGAUGAUUAUUGGAGGUAGAGCACUGUUUGGACGAGGGGCCCCUCUCGGGUUACCGAAUUCAGACAAACUCCGAAUGCCAAUUAAUUUAACUUGGGAGUCAGAACAUGGGUGAUAAGGUCCGUGUUCGAAAGGGAAACAGCCCAGACCACCAGCUAAGGUCCCAAAAUAUAUGUUAAGUGGAAAAGGAUGUGGCGUUGCCCAGACAACUAGGAUGUUGGCUUAGAAGCAGCCAUCAUUUAAAGAGUGCGUAAUAGCUCACUAGUCGAGUGACACUGCGCCGAAAAUGUACCGGGGCUAAACAUAUUACCGAAGCUGUGGAUUGUCCUUUGGACAAUGGUAGGAGAGCGUUCUAAGGGCGUUGAAGCAUGAUCGUAAGGACAUGUGGAGCGCUUAGAAGUGAGAAUGCCGGUGUGAGUAGCGAAAGACGGGUGAGAAUCCCGUCCACCGAUUGACUAAGGUUUCCAGAGGAAGGCUCGUCCGCUCUGGGUUAGUCGGGUCCUAAGCUGAGGCCGACAGGCGUAGGCGAUGGAUAACAGGUUGAUAUUCCUGUACCACCUAUAAUCGUUUUAAUCGAUGGGGGGACGCAGUAGGAUAGGCGAAGCGUGCGAUUGGAUUGCACGUCUAAGCAGUAAGGCUGAGUAUUAGGCAAAUCCGGUACUCGUUAAGGCUGAGCUGUGAUGGGGAGAAGACAUUGUGUCUUCGAGUCGUUGAUUUCACACUGCCGAGAAAAGCCUCUAGAUAGAAAAUAGGUGCCCGUACCGCAAACCGACACAGGUAGUCAAGAUGAGAAUUCUAAGGUGAGCGAGCGAACUCUCGUUAAGGAACUCGGCAAAAUGACCCCGUAACUUCGGGAGAAGGGGUGCUCUUUAGGGUUAACGCCCAGAAGAGCCGCAGUGAAUAGGCCCAAGCGACUGUUUAUCAAAAACACAGGUCUCUGCUAAACCGUAAGGUGAUGUAUAGGGGCUGACGCCUGCCCGGUGCUGGAAGGUUAAGAGGAGUGGUUAGCUUCUGCGAAGCUACGAAUCGAAGCCCCAGUAAACGGCGGCCGUAACUAUAACGGUCCUAAGGUAGCGAAAUUCCUUGUCGGGUAAGUUCCGACCCGCACGAAAGGCGUAACGAUUUGGGCACUGUCUCAACGAGAGACUCGGUGAAAUCAUAGUACCUGUGAAGAUGCAGGUUACCCGCGACAGGACGGAAAGACCCCGUGGAGCUUUACUGUAGCCUGAUAUUGAAAUUCGGCACAGCUUGUACAGGAUAGGUAGGAGCCUUUGAAACGUGAGCGCUAGCUUACGUGGAGGCGCUGGUGGGAUACUACCCUAGCUGUGUUGGCUUUCUAACCCGCACCACUUAUCGUGGUGGGAGACAGUGUCAAGCGGGCAGUUUGACUGGGGCGGUCGCCUCCUAAAAGGUAACGGAGGCGCUCAAAGGUUCCCUCAGAAUGGUUGGAAAUCAUUCAUAGAGUGCAAAGGCAUAAGGGAGCUUGACUGCGAGACCUACAAGUCGAGCAGGGUCGAAAGACGGACUUAGUGAUCCGGUGGUUCCGCAUGGAAGGGCCAUCG